GACUUAAAUCCGUUGGCUUUAUUGACCGUGAGGGUUCAAGUCCCUCUACCCCCAA
rnacentral:tRNA from 1 species